UACAGAGGUCCCAAGCGUUGUUCGGAUUCACUGGGCGUAAAGGGUGCGUAGGCGGUCGAGUAAGUCUGACGUGAAAUCUCCGGGCCUAACCCGGAAACUGCGUUGGAAACUACUUGGCUAGAGGAAUGGAGGGGAGACUGGAAUACUUGGUGUAGCAGUGAAAUGCGUAGAUAUCAAGUGGAACACCAGUGGCGAAGGCGAGUCUCUGGACAUUUCCUGACGCUGAGGUACGAAAGCCAGGGGAGCAAACGGG
rnacentral:rRNA from 1 species